rnacentral:rRNA from 1 species
UACGGAGGGGGCUAGCGUUGUUCGGAAUUACUGGGCGUAAAGCGCACGUAGGCGGCUUUGUAAGUUAGAGGUGAAAGCCCGGGGCUCAACUCCGGAAUUGCCUUUAAGACUGCAUCGCUAGAAUUGUGGAGAGGUAAGUGGAAUUCCGAGUGUAGAGGUGAAGUUCGUAGAUAUUCGGAAGAACACCAGUGGCGAAGGCAGUUAACUAUUCUAUUCCUGACAUUGAGGCAUGAAAGCGUGGGGAGCAAAACGG